CGACCGGCGCACGGGUGAGUAACACGUAUCCAACCUGCCGUCUACUCUUGGACAGCCUUCUGAAAGGAAGACUAAUACAAGAUGGCAUCAUGAGUCCGCAUGUUCACAUGAUUAAAGGUGUUCCGGUAGACGAUGGGGAUGCGUUCCAUUAGAUAGUAGGCGGGGUAACGGCCCACCUAGUCUUCGAUGGAUAGGGGUUCUGAGAGGAAGGUCCCCCACAUUGGAACUGAGACACGGUCCAA
rnacentral:rRNA from 1 species